GUGCUCAGGGCUCGGUGCUUGAGAGUCUCACUUAUUUUGUCUGUUUCUUUGCUGCUGGGGUUAUUAAGCUCAGGACCCAAAUACACUAAACAGAGCUACAAGCUCAGAUCUGCAUAUUUCAAAAUGGCUAACACAGAUGUGAAGUAAUAGAUUGGCCAGAUAAUCAUUCUACAUGUUGAACAAAUGUCAAAGCAUCACAUGGUACCUCAUGAAUAUAUAAUCAUUCUUCAGUUAAAAAUAAAAAUUUAUAUACACGUUUAGGUUUCUAUAUAGCUAGUUUCUAAUGUAAUUUUACUGGAUUGUAACCUUACCAUCUGUGGGUACUGUGCAGGCAGAUUCACAUGGUGGUGGUAACUAAAAUAAAAUAUUAAAACAUAUUAGUUGGUCCUGGGCCAAAAAAGCUGAAAGUAUACUGACAAAAAAAGAGCCUAACAUUAAAGUGCACUAUAAUCCUAGUAUUCAAAAGGCUGCAACAGAAGGAUAGAGAAAUUGAGAAUAGCCUCAAUUAUAUAGCAAGAUGCUGUCUCAAAACAAAUAAGGGUGACUGCCUUGAUUUUUUAGGGUCUGAAAAUAACUUAUAAUAUAUAAAAACAAGGAGGCUGUGCUCUACUGCUCAAAGAUACUAAAACUUGGAAGUUUUUUACUUUUAAGGACCUAUAGGAGAAUAAUUAACACAAUUUUUGAAAUAAAAUUUGAUAUAUGAUGAUUCCAUAUAUACAACACAUACAUAAAAUGUAGACAGUGUUCUCGUUGAAAAACUAUAAGGAACACUAGCUUUUCCCCUAGUUUUCCCUCAGUUCUUCUUAUUAAUUUCAUCUCUUUCAGGAUACAUAUGUAAACAAUGAUGAAUCUAAAUGUACUGGGUUCAUCAUUAAAGUUGUCUUUUCCUGUACUGCCCUACUCAUAAGGCAGGAAAAAGUCAGAAUUCAUUCUGUGGUGCUCAAAUGCAGGACCACACCCCCAGUCAUUUUAUACAUGAGUUAUUUUUGAGAUAAUAAGGUCUUGCUUCAUGCUGGGGCACAUUCUUGAACCAAGAUCCUAUUUUUAGCUUCCUACCACAGCUAGGAUGACACACACAUACAUCCCAACAUACACAGCUUCUUCUACUGAGAUGGAGUCUCUGUCUGGAACCUGAAUCUUCCCAAUC